AACCUACUUUGCCAAGUGGUUCAUGAGCAGCUGUAACAUCUGCCGAUUUUUCUCUGGGAGCCGAUGAACAAGGCUGUGGAUUUCAGAGACCCGAGACUCCUGGUUCUCCAGUUCUGAACAAACUCAGGAGUAGCUGGCUCCCUAGACGGAAGACUUCAUUUCAAGGAAGUAAGGAACUUUAUGCACUUGUAAAGUGAUAAACAAAUCUU
rnacentral:lncRNA from 1 species